rnacentral:rRNA from 1 species
GACGAACGCUGGCGGCGUGCCUAAUACAUGCAAGUCGAGCGCAGGAAAUCGACGGAACCCUUCGGGGGGAAGUCGACGGAAUGAGCGGCGGACGGGUGAGUAACACGUAAAGAACCUGCCCUCAGGUCUGGGAUAACCACGAGAAAUCGGGGCUAAUACCGGAUGGGUCAUCGGACCGCAUGGUCCGAGGAUGAAAGGCGCUUCGGCGUCGCCUGGGGAUGGCUUUGCGGUGCAUUAGCUAGUCGGUGGGGUAAGGGCCCACCAAGGCGACGAUGCAUAGCCGACCUGAGAGGGUUAUCGGCCACACUGGGACUGAGACACGACCCAGACUCCUACGGGAGGCAGCAGUAGGGAAUCUUCCACAAUGGACGAAAGUCUGAUGGAGCAACGCCGCGUGAACGAUGAAGGCAUUCGGGUCGUAAAGUUCUGUUGUAAGGGAAGAACAAGUGCCGCAGGCAAUGGCGGCACCUUGACGGUACCUUGCGAGAAAGCCACGGCUAACUACGUGCCAGCCGCCGCAGUAA